CCCAUCCCCGCCAGUCCGCCACCACGCGCCAAUCCCGCCGUCGCUCGUCGAUCCGGCGCGCACUUCCACCCUCGUCUCUCUACCUGGUCCAGCAACGUCACCCAGCCCCUUAGCUUUUCCUCCCGAUGCCAAAAUGUCCUUUUGACUCCCGUCUCCGUCUUGUUAGCCCGCAGAUCUGGCAGCCCUCAGCCACGACGCUGCGAGCUCUGCCUAGCUUGACCUCGUCGCCCCCAUCCAAUAGGUGCUCGACGCCGCUCCUCGGGACCGCGGUGGUCUUCUUCAUGGGCUCUUUCUCCCUUCACCUCCUACGCCAUGUAUCGGCCCCUUCCUGAAGCUCCUCCUCAUCCGUGUGCCCCCCUGAUGUCGCCGAGUGGACCACGCCCACUCCUGCCUCCGCCCGCCUGUACCAGGCCACAUCAGAUUCUGAAGGCGGCUUUGAAAGGGGGUGAGAUGAUGCUCGUCAAGACUAACUGAAAAGGUUAGUACAUCAUGUCUUACCCAUUUAGUUAUGCGCCAAUUUAGUUCUGGACAACAUGAGCAUGCUGCGGAUAACAUGCUUUGAGACAUGCUCUUUUUAUUUGAGCCUGAUUUCUUAGUUUACCUCAUUGCCUACGUGGUACUGUUGUACUAUAUAUGAUGUAUGCACCUGAUUAUGCCCUAUUUUCCCAGAUGUGGCUCAUAACUGAGAUAUCUAUCUAUUAAAUCCAUCUUAAUUAAGGUGCGAUGGCACAAUUUGGUUGAACUCAUAUAGGAAAAGAUGUUGCUAUAAUCAAUUACAGUAAAAUCAUUUGCACAGAGAAAAAUAUUUCAACAUUAGACAAUAUGAUCUGGCAUGUUUGACCCUUGUCAGGCGUCCUCCUUUCUAGCUUUUGUUUUUCCCUGUACUAGCUUUGCCUCUUUUGGUCUUCAGCUUUCCAGACCUUGAUGCUUUUGAGAAUGUCCAGCAAACUUGGUUUCAUUUUAGUAAUGGAACCAGGGAGGCGCCUCUCUGUUUAUCUAAAAAAGUGGACGAUAUUGAAUUUUUUUUGGAAGUGCAUACAGAAAUAAUGGUAGCUUAACAUGAAGAAUGAUUGUGACCUGUCAUACGAAACAUAAGAAGUUGCUUAAUUUGGUAUGCACAAUAUAACCUAAACUAUUGUUGGUGGAGAUUAGUGUUCUACUGCUAUUUAAUUUGUUUGAAUGAAAAACUAUAUUUAUAUCUUUCUUUACAUGACAUUCUUAAUCUAUUUUUUGUGUUUAUCGUAUGCCCAAACUAGCCAAUAGUGUUAUGCUAGUGUACUGCUUUUGUUGUGUCAUCAGACUGCAAAAUGUAAGUGCUAGUAUAUAUACUUUAGUGGGGUUGCAGAUGUCUGUUGUACAUUUGUACUUGGUUAUCAUUUUACAACUUCAACAAGCCAAUGAAUCGAUUAUCGACAUGACAUAUGUGUCUUUCAGAUAAGUUUUUUUACCUGUAUCACAUGGCCAUCUUGGUGUAACCAUAGUACAUGCGGGUUCUGGACAUAGGAUUGUUACAGUUAAUUAAAAAAUGUCAUGUGGUUCGAAUUAUAUUAAUGUUACAAGUAAUUUCAAAAGCAUGAUGUGUUCUGAACUGUUGCAAACUUAUAAUGAAAUUGACAUUAGUGCAGUUUAUUGGUAUAUUCCUUUUGUACACAGAGCAAUGUGUAGUACCCAGUCUAUUAUUUGGAGUUGCGUUCCUGCUGAUUCAUGUAACCCUGAAAAUUGCAUGUGAAGGACCAAAAGGAAUGGGAGACGGUGCUGAAGAAUCGUGAUCUAUGGCAAGGGUGAUGAUGUCUAUGGCGAUGAUUGUUAUGAUCUAUUUGGCGAUGAGCAUUAUGAUCCAUAUGGUGAUGAAGGGUGACGAGUCUAGUGAUCUUUCUUCAAGACGUUCAACAAAGUGAAAUCAUGGGGUUUUGGUCAAUCUAGCUUAUGCAUAAUGCUUGGACCAUUAUAUCUUAGUUAAUUUUUUUUGCAUUUUAAACUUCCUAGAUUGUUCAUCAUGAUCAAUGUAAUUCUGAUGCAACUCUUCUGAUAUUUUGAAAGUUGUGCUAUAUACAAUAUAUGUUACUUGGUCAUGUGUGGGCUGUGCA